UUUCCGGUUGAUCCUGCCGGAGGUCAUUGCUAUCGGAGUCCGAUUUAGCCAUGCUAGUCGUGCGAGUUCAGACUCGCGGCACCGAGCUCAGUAACACGUGGCCAAACUACCCUACAGAGACGGAUACCCUCGGGAAACUGAGGUUAACCCGUCAUACCGAUCUCAGGCUUGAAUCGCAGAGAUCACAAAACGCCCCGGCGCUGUAGGAUGUGGCUGCGGUUGAUUAGGUUGACGGUGGGGUAACGGCCCACCGUGCCCAUAAUCAGUACAGGUUGUGAGAGCAAGAACCUGGAGACGGAAUCUGAGACAAGAUUCCGGGCCCUACGGGGCGCAGCAGGCGCGAAACCUUUACACUGCACGCACGUGCGAUAAGGGGACUCCGAGUGCGAGGGCAUAUCGUCCUCGCUUUCGUGUACCGUAGGGUGGUACACCAACAAGGGCUGGGCAAGACCGGUGCCAGCCGCCGCGGUAAUACCGGCAGCCCAAGUGAUGACCGAUCUUAUUGGGCCUAAAGCGUCCGUAGCUGGCCGCGCAAGUCCGUCGGGAAAUCCACUCGCCCAACGAGUGGGCGUCCGACGGAAACUGCACAGCUUGGGACCGGAAGGCUCGAAGGGUACGUUCGGGGUAGGAGUGAAAUCCCAUAAUCCCGCACGGACCACCGAAUGGCGAAAGCACUUCGAGAAAACGGAUCCGACAGUGAGGGACGAAAGCCAGGGUCUCCAAACCGGAUUAGAUACCCGGGUAGUCCUGGCCGUAAACAAUGUUCGCUAGGUAUGACACAGACUACGUGUCUCUGUUGUGCCGUAGGGAAGCCGAGAAGCGAACCGCCUGGGAAGUACGUCUGCAAGGAUGAAACUUAAAGGAAUUGGCGGGGGAGCACUACAACCGGAGGAGCCUGCGGAUUAAUUGGACUCAACGCCGGA
rnacentral:rRNA from 1 species